rnacentral:misc_RNA from 1 species
GUUGGCUUAAUUCAAAGACUAACAGUGAACUUGGCCCACUAAAUUGGGUUGGUUCUGGCUUCUCAAAAACCUGUGGUGAAUUCAGAGUAGGUAGAUAUGANNNNNNNNNNNNNGUGCACUUAAUUCCUUUUCACACAAGGUCAAGUGGACAAAAGGUAGUCGUGGGGUAAUUUGCAUAUACCCUAAGAAGGGAGAUGUUUGGGCUUUGUAUCGGAAUUGGUCACCUGAAUGGAAUGAACUGACAGAAGAUGAGGUGAUACACAAGUAUGACAUGGUAGAAGUACUAGAAGAUUACAGUGAAGAACU